ACUAUUUUGGCAGAUUAGUGCAAUAAAUUUAGAAUUUAUAUAUGUAGUUUACAUUACAAAUAGUA
rnacentral:tRNA from 1 species